rnacentral:rRNA from 1 species
GAUGAACGCUAGCGGCAGGCCUAACACAUGCAAGUCGAGGGGCAGCACGAUUGAGCUUGCUUAAUUGGUGGCGACCGGCGCACGGGUGCGUAACGCGUAUGCAAUCUACCUUAUACUGGGGUAUAGCCCGAAGAAAUUCGGAUUAAUCCCCCAUAGCAUUAUCGAUUCGCAUGUUUUGAUAAUUAAAGGUUACGGUAUAA